rfam:Picea glauca, whole genome shotgun sequence.
UGGCAAUGAUUAAAAUUAUCCGCGCUUCUGAUGCUUCGUGCAGUGAAGUAAAAAUGGAUGGUUGAAUUUCUUGAUAUGAGCCA